GGAUAAUCUGCCCUAAGGUCAGGCAUAACUCCGGGAAGCUGGUGAUAAUUCCUGAUAUACCAUAGAUACUGGAAUGUUCUGUGGUCAAAAGCUCCGGCGCCUUAGGAUGAAUCUGCGGCCUAUCAGGUUGUAGUGGGUGUAGUGUACCUACUAGCCGACGACGGGUACGGGUUGUGAGAGCAAGAGCCCGGAGAUGGAUUCUGAGACAUGAAUCCAGGCCCUACGGGGCGCAGCAGGCGCGAAAACUUUACAAUGCGGGAAACCGCGAUAAGGGGACACUGAGUGCCAGCACCAUGUGUUGGCUGUCCGCAUGUAUAAAUAACAUGUGUUAGCAAGGGCCGGGCAAGACCGGUGCCAGCCGCCGCGGUAACACCGGCGGCCCGAGUGGUGGCCAUUAUUAUUGGGUCUAAAGGGUCCGUAGCCGGUUUGAUCAGUCUUCCGGGAAAUCUGACAGCUCAACUGUUAGGCUUCUGGGGGAUACUGUCAGACUUGGAACCGGGAGAGGUAAGAGGUACUACAGGGGUAGGAGUGAAAUCUUGUAAUCCUUGUGGGACCACCAGUGGCGAAGGCGUCUUACCAGAACGGGUUCGACGGUGAGGGACGAAAGCUGGGGGCACGAACCGGAUUAGAUACCCGGGUAGUCCCAGCCGUAAACGAUGCUCGCUAGGUGUCUGGGACGGUGCGACCGUUUCAGGUGCCGCAGGGAAGCCGUGAAGCGAGCCACCUGGGAAGUACGGCCGCAAGGCUGAAACUUAA
rnacentral:rRNA from 1 species